AUAAAGUUUGAUUCUUACUUAAUAAUUUAGGAUUUAAAUUUUAUACAUAUAUACAUAUUUAUAUUAAUUUAGGUAGUAUUUUAUAUUAUACAAUUAUAAAUUAUAGGAUAUAAAAUUUUAUUGAGUUUUGGAAAAGUUCGUGCCAGCAUCUGCGGUUAUACGUAAAAUGUAAUUUAAUUAUUUCAGUAAAAUUUAGUUUUAUGAUUAAAUUAUGAUAAUAUAUUAAAAUAUUAGGUGAAAUUAUUUUUUAGUACUUAUUUAUAUUUUAUUUACUAUUAAUUUUAUGAAUAAAAACCUGGAUUAGAUACCCAGUUAUUUUAAUUUUAAAUUUUUUACUCAAGUAGUAUAAUUUAUUUUAUAAACUUAAAGAAUUUGGCGGUAUUUCAUUCCUUUUAGAGGAACCUGCUCUAUAAUCGAUAGUCCACGUAUACCUUACUUUAAUUAAAUAAUUUAUAUAUCGUUGUUUUUGAGUUAAUUAAAAAAUUUUCUCUAGGGUUUUUAUUAAAAUGAUAAUAAAUCAAGGUGUAGUUUAUAAUAAAGUAGAAGUGGGUUACAAAAAAUUAAGUUUUGGAUUUUAAUAAUUAAUUUAUUUGGUGAAAUUGGAUUUAAAAGUAAAAUAUUAAUAAAUUGAUUUUUUGAAAGGGGUUCUGAAUUAUGUACACAUCGCCCGUCGCUCUUAUUUUACAAUAAGAUAAGUCGUAACAAAGUAGGGUUUCCGGAAGGAGGGCCUAGAUUGUA
rnacentral:ncRNA from 1 species